GAUGAACGCUAGCGGCAGGCCUAAUACAUGCAAGUCGAACGGUAAGGCCCUUUCGGGGUACACGAGUGGCGGACGGGUGCGUAACGCGUAUGCAACAUGCCUUCCAGCGGGGGAUAUACCAGGGAAACUUGGCGCAAUACCCCAUAUAAUUACGGGACCGCAUGGUCUUGUGAUUAAAACUCCGGUGCUGGGAGAUUGGCAUGCGUGACAUUAGCUAGUUGGCGGGGUAACGGCCCACCAAGGCGACGAUGUCUAGCUGGUCUAAGAGGACGGUCGGUCACACUGACACUGAAUAACGGGUCAGACUCCUACGGGAGGCAGCAGUCGGGAAUUUUGGGCAAUGGGCGAAAGCCUGACCCAGCAACGCCGCGUGAAGGAUGAAGUAUUUCGGUAUGUAAACUUCGAAAGAAUAGGAAGAAUUAAAUGACGGUACUAUUUAUAAGGUCCGGCUAACUACGUG
rnacentral:rRNA from 1 species